CAGGUUAAUUUUAUAGAAAUAAUAUUAUUUACAUUAAUAUGAAUAGUUGUGCAAUUCAGCUUGACUUGA
rnacentral:tRNA from 1 species